UGAAGAUGAACGGGGCUAAGCGAUCUGCCGAAGCUGUGGGAUGUCAAAAUGCAUCGGUAGGGGAGCGUUCCGCCUUAGAGGGAAGCAACCGCGAAAGCGGGGGUCGACGAAGCGGAAGCGAGAAUGUCGGCUUGAGUAACGAAAAGAUUGGUGAGAAUCCAAUGCCCCGAAAACCCAAUGUUUCCUCCGCAAGGUUCGUCCACGGAG
rnacentral:ncRNA from 1 species